AACGCACAUUGCGCCCGGUAGUACUCUACCGGGCAUGCCUGUCCGAGCGUCAUUUCAACCCUCGGGACCCGUUUCGGCGGGACCCGGCGUUGGGGAUCGGCCGUCCUCCGCGGCGUGCCGGCCCCGAAAUACAGUGGCGGUCUCGUUGUGACUCCCCUGCGUAGUAGUAACAUUCUCGCAUGCGGAUAGCGACGCGGCCACGCCGUAAAACCCCCAACUUUUACCAAGGUUGACCUCGGAUCAGGUAGGAAUACCCGCUGAACUUAA
rnacentral:misc_RNA from 1 species